GAGUUUGAUCCUGGCUCAGGACGAACGCUGGCGGCGUGCCUAAUACAUGCAAGUAGAACGCUGAAGAGAGGAGCUUGCUCUUCUUGGAUGAGUUGCGAACGGGUGAGUAACGCGUAGGUAACCUGCCUUGUAGAGGGGGAUAACUAUUGGAAACGAUAGCUAAUACCGCAUAACAAUGGAUGACACAUGUCAUUUAUUUGAAAGGGGCAAUUGCUCCACUACAAGAUGGACCUGCGUUGUAUUAGCUAGUAGGUGAGGUAAUGGCUCACCUAGGCGACGAUACAUAGCCGACCUGAGAGGGUGAUCGGCCACACUGGGACUGAGACACGGCCCAGACUCCUACGGGAGGCAGCAGUAGGGAAUCUUCGGCAAUGGGGGCAACCCUGACCGAGCAACGCCGCGUGAGUGAAGAAGGUUUUCGGAUCGUAAAGCUCUGUUGUAAGUCAAGAACGGGUGUGAGAGUGGAAAGUUCACACUGUGACGGUAGCUUACCAGAAAGGGACGGCUAACUACGUGCCAGCAGCCGCGGUAAUACGUAGGUCCCGAGCGUUGUCCGCGGAUUUAUUGGGCGUAAAGCGAGCGCAGGCGGUUUGAUAAGUCUGAAGUUAAAGGCUGUGGCUCAACCAUAGUUCGCUUUGGAAACUGUCAAACUUGAGUGCAGAAGGGGAGAGUGGAAUUCCAUGUGUAGCGGUGAAAUGCGUAGAUAUAUGGAGGAACACCGGUGGCGAAAGCGGCUCUCUGGUUCUGUAACUGACGCUGAGGCUCGAAAGCGUGGGGAGCGAACAGGAUUAGAUACCCUGGUAGUCCACGCCGUAAACGAUGAGUGCUAGGUGUUGGAUCCUUUCCGGGAUUCAGUGCCGAAGCUAACGCAUUAAGCACUCCGCCUGGGGAGUACGACCGCAAGGUUGAAACUCAAAGGAAUUGACGG
rnacentral:rRNA from 1 species